CCCUUAGAUGUCCUGGGCCGCACGCGCGCUACACUGAACAGUUCAACAAGUCUUAACCUUGGCCGAUAGGUCUGGGUAAUCUUUGAACGCUGUUCGUGAUUGGGAUAGACCUUUGCAAUUAUGGGUCUUCAACGAGGAAUUCCUAGUAAACGCAAGUCAUCAGCUUGCAUUGAUUACGUCCCUGCCCUUUGUACACACCGCCCGUCACACCUACCGAUUGAAUGGUCCGGUGAAAUCUCGGGACGGCGGCUUGGUCGCUUGCGUCCGACUGCUGAAACUUGAUUAAACCAUAUCAUUUAGAGGAAGGUGAAGUCGUAACA
rnacentral:rRNA from 1 species